AUGAGUGAUGCAAAGCAGUGCUUGUUAACUGCAAGGUGAAUGAAAUGCCAUCUUGGUCCUUCCUCUGCUCAAGAGGUUUGUUCCACAUCCAGAUCCUCUGCUGUUGCAUCAGGAGACGUCCCUACUGCUUGUGAGGAUUCCUCUAGCCAGCAGGAUGGGGAUGGCUGCUGAGGUCAUUUCAGCUAUUUCAUCAGCUGUCUUGGUGAAAAAGGGGCUCCGUGCUGAGUACCAAAGAUGGAAUGGGAAUGUUCCUUCACUGCCAGUAAACUUGUUCAGGUCAGUUGAGGUUCACUGAAUCAUUAAAGCUGUGCUUGAGAGUAAGGCACAGGAAGGGCAUGUAGUCCUCCCACCUGCAUACAGCUUCCCAG
ensembl:lncRNA